rnacentral:rRNA from 1 species
UGGGGAAUAUUGCACAAUGAGCGAAAGCCUGAUCCAGCAAUGCCGCGUGUGUGAAGAAGGCCUUCGGGUUGUAAAGCACUUUUGUCCGGAAAGAAAUCCUUGGCUCUAAUACAGUCGGGGAUGACGGUACCGGAAGAAUAAGCACCGGCUAACUACGUGCCAGCAGCCGCGGUAAUACGUAGGGUGCAAGCGUUAAUCGGAAUUACUGGGCGUAAAGCGUGCGCAGGCGGUUUGCUAAGACCGAUGUGAAAUCCCCGGGCUCAACCUGGGAACUGCAUUGGUGACUGGCAGGCUAGAGUAUGGCAGAGGGGGGUAGAAUUCCACGUGUAGCAGUGAAAUGCGUAGAGAUGUGGAGGAAUACCGAUGGCGAAGGCAGCCCCCUGGGCCAAUACUGACGCUCAUGCACGAAAGCGUGGGGAGCAAACAGGAUUAGAUACCCUGGUAGUCCACGCCCUAAACGAUGUCAACUAGUUGUUGGGGAUUCAUUUCCUUAGUAACGUAGCUAACGCGUGAAGUUGACCGCCUGGGGAGUACGGUCGCAAGAUUAAAA